CCUACGGGUGGCUGCAGUGGGGAAUAUUGGGCAAUGGGCGCAAGCCUGACCCAGCAACGCCGCGUGAAGGAAGAAGGCUUUCGGGUUGUAAACUUCUUUUGACAGGGAAGAGCAGCAGACGGUACCUGUCGACUAAGCCACGGCUAACUACGUGCCAGCAGCCGCGGUAAUACGUAGGUGGCAAGCGUUGUCCGGAUUUACUGGGUGUAAAGGGCGUGUAGCCGGGCUGACAAGUCAGAUGUGAAAUCCGGGGGCUCAACCCCCGAACUGCAUUUGAAACUGGUUUUCUUGAGUGAAGUAGAGGUUGGCGGAAUUCCGAGUGUAGCGGUGAAAUGCGUAGAUAUUCGGAGGAACACCGGUGGCGAAGGCGGCCAACUGGGCUUUAACUGACGCUGAGGCUCGAAAGUGUGGGGAGCAAACAGGAUUAGAUACCCGUGUAGUC
rnacentral:rRNA from 1 species